rnacentral:rRNA from 1 species
GACGAACGCUGGCGGCGUGCUUAACACAUGCAAGUCGAACGGUAAGGCCCUUCGGGGUACACGAGUGGCGAACGGGUGAGUAACACGUGGGUGAUCUGCCCUGCACUUCGGGAUAAGCCUGGGAAACUGGGUCUAAUACCGGAUAGGACUCCUGGCUUCAUGGUUGGGGGUGGAAAGCUUUUGCGGUGUGGGAUGGGCCCGCGGCCUAUCAGCUUGUUGGUGGGGUAAUGGCCUACCAAGGCGACGCCGGGUAGCCGGCCUGAGAGGGUGACCGGUCACACUGGGACUGAGAUACGGCCCAGACUCCUACGGGAGGCAGCAGUGGGGAAUAUUGCACAAUGGGCGCAAGCCUGAUGCAGCGACGCCGCGUGAGGGAUGACGGCCUUCGGGUUGUAAACCUCUUUCAGCUAUGACGAAGCGCAAGUGACGGUAGUAGCAGAAGAAGGACCGGCCAACUACGUGCCAGCCGCCGCCGUAACAC